rnacentral:rRNA from 1 species
AACGAACGCUGGCGGCGUGGAUAAGACAUGCAAGUCGAGCGGGAACUUUCGCUGUAGCAAUACAGUGAAAGUUCUAGCGGCGAACGGGUGCGUAACACGUGGACAAUCUGCCUUAAAGUGGGGGAUAGCUCGGCGAAAGCCGAAUUAAUACCGCAUGUGAUGAGAGACGACAUCGUCUUGAAAUCAAAGCCGGGGCAACCUGGCGCUUUUUGAGGAGUCCGCGGCCUAUCAGCUAGUUGGUGAGGUAACGGCCCACCAAGGCUAUGACGGGGUAGCUGGUCUGAGAGGACGACCAGUCACACUGGAACUGAGACACGGUCCAGACACCUACGGGUGGC